GAACGAUGAACCACUUCGGUGGGGAUUAGUGGCGAACGGGUGAGUAACACGUGGGCAAUCUGCCCUGCACUCUGGGACAAGCCCUGGAAACGGGGUCUAAUACCGGAUACUGACCCUCGCAGGCAUCUGCGAGGUUCGAAAGCUCCGGCGGUGCAGGAUGAGCCCGCGGCCUAUCAGCUUGUUGGUGAGGUAAUGGCUCACCAAGGCGACGACGGGUAGCCGGCCUGAGAGGGCGACCGGCCACACUGGGACUGAGACACGGCCCAGACUCCUACGGGAGGCAGCAGUGGGGAAUAUUGCACAAUGGGCGAAAGCCUGAUGCAGCGACGCCGCGUGAGGGAUGACGGCCUUCGGGUUGUAAACCUCUUUCAGCAGGGAAGAAGCGAAAGUGACGGUACCUGCAGAAGAAGCGCCGGCUAACUACGUGCCAGCAGCCGCGGUAAUACGUAGGGCGCAAGCGUUGUCCGGAAUUAUUGGGCGUAAAGAGCUCGUAGGCGGCUUGUCGCGUCGGUUGUGAAAGCCCGGGGCUUAACCCCGGGUCUGCAGUCGAUACGGGCAGGCUAGAGUUCGGUAGGGGAGAUCGGAAUUCCUGGUGUAGCGGUGAAAUGCGCAGAUAUCAGGAGGAACACCGGUGGCGAAGGCGGAUCUCUGGGCCGAUACUGACGCUGAGGAGCGAAAGCGUGGGGAGCGAACAGGAUUAGAUACCCUGGUAGUCCACGCCGUAAACGGUGGGCACUAGGUGUGGGCAACAUUCCACGUUGUCCGUGCCGCAGCUAACGCAUUAAGUGCCCCGCCUGGGGAGUACGGCCGCAAGGCUAAAACUCAAAGGAAUUGACGGGGGCCCGCACAAGCGGCGGAGCAUGUGGCUUAAUUCGACGCAACGCGAAGAACCUUACCAAGGCUUGACAUACACCGGAAAGCAUCAGGAGAUGGUGCCCCCCUUGUGGUCGGUGUACAGGUGGUGCAUGGCUGUCGUCAGCUCGUGUCGUGAGAAUGUUGGGUUUAAGUCCCGCAACGAGCGCAACCCUUGUCCCGUGUUGCCAGCAGGCCCUUGUGGUGCUGGGGACUCACGGGAGACCGCCGGGGUCAACUCGGAGGAAGGUGGGGACGACGUCAAGUCAUCAUGCCCCUUAUGUCUUGGGCUGCACACGUGCUACAAUGGCCGGUACAAUGAGCUGCGAUACCGCAAGGUGGAGCGAAUCUCAAAAAGCCGGUCUCAGUUCGGAUUGGGGUCUGCAACUCGACCCCAUGAAGUCGGAGUCGCUAGUAAUCGCAGAUCAGCAUUGCUGCGGUGAAUACGUUCCCGGGCCUUGUACACACCGCCCGUCACGUCACGAAAGUCGGUAACACCCGAAGCCGGUGGCCCAACCCCUUGUGGGAGGGAGCUGUCGAAGGUGGGACUGGCGAUU
rnacentral:rRNA from 1 species